GAGGAUAUAGCUCAGUGGUAGAGCAUGUGCUUAGCAUGCACGAGGUCCUAGGUUCAAUCACCCAGUACCUCU
rnacentral:tRNA from 1 species